rnacentral:rRNA from 1 species
GAUGAACGCUGGCGGCGUGCCUUAUGCAUGCAAGUCGAGUGGGUUUAGACCCACGGCAAACGGGUGAGUAACCCGUAGGUACUUUCCUUGUCACAGGAAUAACCCUCCGAAAGGAGGGCUAAUACCUGAUGUGAUCGCAAGAUUAAAGGGUAUCCGCAAGGAUUACCGGACAAGAAGAGGCCUGCGGCCUAUCAGCUAGUUGGCGGGGUAAAUGCCCACCAAGGCUAUGACGGGUAGCUGGUCUUAUGAGGAUGAUCAGUCACAUGGGCACUGAGACACGGGCCCAACUCCUACGGGAGGCAGUAGUAGGGAAUUUUGCGCAAUGGGCGAAAGCCUGACGCAGCGACGCCGCGUGCGGGAUGAAGGCCUUCGGGUCGUAAACCGCUUUUAUAAGGGACGAACUUUGACGGUACCUUAUGAAUAAGAGGUUGCUAACUCUGUG